rnacentral:lncRNA from 1 species
AAACAAUGCCUAAGAGAGGGCCCGCAUUUCUUUUUUUCGCGAGGCAUUUCACACAGGGGUGGUGCACCCUUCAUCGACACUUCGGCACAUCACAACACAAACACCACUCCACAACCACACACGACUGCCUUUCAGCUUCGACUGGUACUGACUGAUUCGAAAAUUGGUGUUUGGAAGGGAGCUUAAGCAGGAGGAGGAUGGCCGUGAGAGGGCGCUGCUUCGGCCACAACGGGACCAAACAGGGUCGACGAACUCGACAGAACGGCUAAGCCCAGAUUAAAUGCAGGACUAUUUGUUUGCAAGACGGCACGUGCCGGAGGUUAAUUUGGUGUUGGAAUGAAAACCGGAAUUGUUCGAAGAGGCGGAAAUCGUGGAUAAGAUAAAAGGUAGUGAUCUUUAAAUGGAUUUCUUCUAAACCUUUCCACUAAGGUCUGAUCGCGUUCCUGGUAAAGAUGACAUGGGAACAUGACAUGGAAACGUUACGGGACUUCUUGGACCCCGGUGAUUACAUGGCGGGUGAGCAACCGCGGAGGUGUAAGAUCGGUGAAAGCAUUUCUCCAAAACAUGAGGUGAUUCACCGUUGAGAAUAAAGCUUGAAAAAGCUCAGGCCUGCCGUUCUAAGGAAUGCCUUUUGAAAGACAACAAAAGCGAGCUGUCGUCAAAAAGGAAAAGCUACAUCUGCCCCAUCUUCGAGAGUGGCCAUUUUGGAAGAAAAGCAAAACACCACGUAUUGCAAAUACUGUCAGGCAAUAUUCCUAAACGAAACUAUGUGGAUCCAGAAUUCCCCCGUGUCAGAGAGAGCAGGCAAAAGGAUCUGCAUUUCUAAUAACAAUUAGUAUGACAAAAGAGAAUUAGUUUUAAUAACAAAUACUUUAUCUAACAAAUUUUUUGGUAUUCAGCCUUUUAAACACCCGAAGCGAAACAAAAUUGACCUAACACCCACAAUUGAUGGAAAGGUCGUCUUUAUAAAUUAUAAAGAGAUGACAGCCAGGAAACAAUGAAUACUUGCAUGAUGAUGAAGGACGAUUCAAGACCCAGGAAAUGCUCAGCAUCACUUUCCGUUACAUCGUUUUCCCAAUGACAACCACAUUCUUUGACUAUUGCGAAUGCAAGAGUUCGUAAUAAAACGGUCUUCCUGUUCCCAGAAGGAUGACCAGGACGUCCGGGAUUAUGAUUUACUGUCUGGCCAAGGGUUGAUGACACUGCUGAAAGGACGGUGGCAAAACAAAACCCACCCCAAGCCGAAGGUGAGAGCUUAUGGAUUUCCUGAUGCCAAAUUGGGUGGGCGUUAUUUGAUUUACAACGGAAUAACGGAUGAUUUCGUCGAUACAAUAAAAUUUACUACGUCUAAAAACCAAAAGUUCUCAAGCCUUGCUUAAAAUACCUGAAUAGACCACCCGUAUUAUAGUGGUUAACGGUAUAUUGUACUACUCAGUGCAAUAAACAAUCAUACA